CCCUUAGACGUUCUGGGCCGCACGCGCGCUACACUGACCAGUGCAACAAGCAUCCGUCCUUGGCCGACAGGCCCGGGCAAUCUUUGAACGCUGGUCGUGAUGGGGAUAGACUUUUGCAAUUUUUGGUCUUCAACGAGGAAUUCCUAGUAAACGCAAGUCAUCAACUUGCAUUGAUUACGUCCCUGCCCUUUGUACACACCGCCCGUCGCACCUACCGAUUGAAUGGUCCGGUGAAGCCUCCGGAUUGGCGCGCACCUCGGUGCCGCCGGGAAGUUGGCUAAACCUUACCAUUUAGAGGAAGGUGAAGUCGUAACA
rnacentral:rRNA from 1 species